rnacentral:rRNA from 1 species
GAUGAACGCUAGCGACAGGCCUAACACAUGCAAGUCGAGGGGCAGCACAUGAGUAGCAAUACGAUGGUGGCGACCGGCGCACGGGUGAGUAACACGUAUGCAACCUGCCUUCUACUAUGGGAUAACCCGUUGAAAGACGGACUAAUACCGUAUAAUACAGGGGCUCCGCAUGGAGAUAUUUGUUAAAGAUUUAUUGGUAGAAGAUGGGCAUGCGUGUGAUUAGAUAGUUGGUGAGGUAACGGCUCACCAAGUCAACGAUCAUUAGGGGUUCUGAGAGGAAGGUCCCCCACACUGGUACUGAGACACGGACCAGACUCCUACGGGAGGCAGCAGUGAGGAAUAUUGGUCAAUGGACGAGAGUCUGAACCAGCCAAGUCGCGUGAAGGAAGACGGUUCUAUGAAUUGUAAACUUCUUUUGCGCAGGAAUAAAGUGGGUUACGUGUAACCUUUUGCAUGUACUGUACGAAUAAGGAUCGGCUAACUCCGUGCCAGCCGCCGCAGUAACAC